rnacentral:rRNA from 1 species
AGAGUUUGAUCCUGGCUCAGAUUGAACGCUGGCGGCAUGCUUUACACAUGCAAGUCGAACGGCAGCGGGGGCUUCGGCCUGCCGGCGAGUGGCGAACGGGUGAGUAAUGCAUCGGAACGUGCCCAUGUCGUGGGGGAUAACGUAUCGAAAGGUACGCUAAUACCGCAUACGUCCUGAGGGAGAAAGCGGGGGAUCGCAAGACCUCGCGCGAUUGGAGCGGCCGAUGUCGGAUUAGCUAGUAGGUGAGGUAAAGGCUCACCUAGGCGACGAUCCGUAGCGGGUCUGAGAGGAUGAUCCGCCACACUGGGACUGAGACACGGCCCAGACUCCUACGGGAGGCAGCAGUGGGGAAUUUUGGACAAUGGGGGCAACCCUGAUCCAGCCAUGCCGCGUGAGUGAAGAAGGCCUUCGGGUUGUAAAGCUCUUUCGGCCGGGAAGAAAUCGUGGUCUCUAACAUAGGCCAUGGAUGACGGUACCGGACUAAGAAGCACCGGCUAACUACGUGCCAGCCGCCGCGGUAAUAC